rnacentral:rRNA from 1 species
UAACGCGUGAGGAACCUGCCUCAAAGAGGGGGACAACAGUUGGAAACGACUGCUAAUACCGCAUAAGCCCACGGCUCGGCAUCGAGCAGAGGGAAAAGGAGCAAUCCGCUUUGAGAUGGCCUCGCGUCCGAUUAGCUAGUUGGUGAGGUAAUGGCCCACCAAGGCGACGAUCGAUAGCCGGACUGAGAGGUUGAACGGCCACAUUGGGACUGAGACACGGCCCAG